ACUCGAUUUGACAUAAAUACUCAUAAAAUGUCCUGUCUUGAUUUAACUAUUGCAUCUCCAACCCUAGCACGAGUAGGUGAGUGGGAUGUACUGGGGAAGCAAUCAAUGGGUAGUGACCAUUUUCCGGUCCUAAGUCAGUUUGGAAGAUCCUUAAUAGUGGUCCAGGGGGAUUUAGGUAAAAGGUUUGAUUUUUCUCGGGCAGAAUGGGGUAAGUUUGGGGUAGAAAUUGGGAAAAGUUUUGGAGAAAUCAAUAGUGAAGGUUCUAUUGAUGAGUUUAAUGAUUCCUUAAGUAAAAUGAUUUUUGAUGUGGCUUUAGGGACAAUACCAUGUAGGGGGGUCCCAAAGGAUCGAGUUAUUGUUCCGUGGUGGAAUAGUGAUUGUGAUAAGGCGGUGAAAGAGAGAAAACAAGCUUUUAAGCUUUUGCGCAGUAACCCUACUCAGAGAAACAGUAUACAUUUCAAACGCUGUAGGGCAAAGGCAAGGAAAAUAAUAAAAGAUGCAAAAAAAAAGUGUUGGAGAGAUUACUGUGGGACCUUGGGACCAGAUACCCCUGUUGGGCAGGUCUGGUCAAGGAUUCAUAAAAUGUCAGGGAAAAUGGUGAGGUCACUAAUGCCAGCCCUGUCUGAUGGAAGAAGUGAAGCAGUCAAUAAUAUGGAAAAAGCUAAUAUGUGUGUCAAAGUUUUUCAAGAGGUACAUAAUUCCAAGUCUUUAGGGGAUUAUGGUUUGCUGAGGAGGGAAGAAAUCUUGAGAACUGAAGGGUAGAAGUUAAAUGUUGUAUCUUCAGAAAAGGAAUUUUUUUAUGUAUUCUUCUCUCUGAAGGAGCUUAAGCAAGCAGUUCAAGCAGGGGCUAAGACCACUCCUGGCCAAGAUAAUAUCAGUUAUGAAUUGCUUAAACAUUUAGAUGAUGUAGCUCUGGAGGAAGUUCUAGCUUUGUCUAAUUAUGUGUGGGAGGCAGGUGUUUUACCUAAGGUGUGGAAACAUGCUGUUGUGGUUCCUGUUCUGAAACCAGUGAAAGACCCCUCUUGUCCGUCGUCAUAUCGGCCUAUAGCUUUAACAGCUGUUUUAUGCAAAGUAAUGAAAAGGAUGGUAACAAAUAGGUUG
rnacentral:lncRNA from 1 species